AUCCAACAGACAUGUCCCAAAUAGGACGAAAUGCACGUCCUGGAC
rfam:Schistosoma curassoni strain Dakar, Senegal genome assembly, scaffold: SCTD_scaffold0001837